rnacentral:lncRNA from 1 species
AGACCCCUGGGCUAACAGCCCAAGGGACGCACCUCAAUGGCCCCCACCUGUGUCUGUAUCAGCACUCCUGGACCAGCUCAGAACAACCGCCCCCACCAAUGUCUCAGUCUCCAGAGAGGAUCCUCCUCUCACCAAGAUGCCCCCAGAGCCCACCAGUUUUCAAUCCAGGGUGAUUCUUCCCAAAAUUGUAACCUGGUUGUGUUCGUGGGAGGAGGCGAGUUCAACGUCUGGUCACAGUGCCAUCUUGACGAGAACUCCUCAAAGGACAAGCGUGGCUGUAUGGAAAUGGAGACUAGAGGUUACAUCUGAGGGGCACUUCACAAAAGGAAUGAUGAAAUUUUGUGACAAAUUGGUCACAGGGCUGAGUGAAAAGACUAAAGUGAAAGAUGUCUUCAAAUUUUCUCAACUGGGAGACCAGAAGAGUUCCAGUGCCCUUGAGUGAAAUGGUAAAGUUGGAAGGAAAUUCACUUUGAAAGAAAAUGAAUAAAAAGGGUUCCUACAGAUAACAUCUCCCUGGAGCCUGGGUCACCAUGGUAAUGGGUGUGUGAGCUGUCUUUCAGGAAUUAGAACUCCUUGUCUACUUCAGGCCCGUUGAGACCACCAACUCAUCAACUGGGCCCACGCAGAUGUCCGAUAGGUGACCUUUUGACGUCAGGAGGCUAAAAACUCCACCCUCAGAUCAUGCUAAUGCCACCAUUUUGUGAACGUGGGUCCUAUGAAGAGGCAUAAAGUCUGACUUUGCUUGCACAGAUCAUCAAUUUCCUCGCCUCCAAUCACCUCUCUCCACAUUUCAAGCCAC